CGGAAACAAUAGGAACCCUCCCGCAUUUUAAGCCGAACGUAGUAAUUUAUUCAAAUUUACUCCGGUCACGCGGCGACCUCGCUUUUCACCUUUGACCGCCAUUUUGAUUAACUGAUUACGCAUCGUAAACACGUUUUUCUAUCGACGAUUUUGAGCAUGUUACCGAUAGAAAACAUCUUCAUGUGGUUCAACUUUAUUCUAAAUACAAAGUAGAUCUAGGAAGUCAAUGGCAGACUGCCCAGGACCAUUCUGUCAUGAAAAUGGUAUAACAACCUCUCUUUAGAAGAAGGAAGAAACCUUGUUGCCUAUAAACAGGCAGAAGAAUGGACUCAUUCUUGAAAUAAAUACUUUUAUAGAAAAAAUGGGGAAAUUUCAA